GGGGCUGCUAAUGCUCCCUCCCCUCUUCCUCUUUGGCUCUCUCUCUCUCUUUUUCCAGACACCUUAAGGAAUUCAACAACCCCUCCCCUGCACACAGGCUUCUUCCAGCCAGAUGCCAUGUUGCAAGAUUUCCUCUGGAGAGGGCCUCUUGGCAAGGAACUGAUGUCUCUGGCCAGCAGCCAGCGAGGACCUAAGAUCUGUCAACAGCCAUGCUUAUGGCUGGUCUAGCAGAGCCAGGUGCCAGGCCUGGCGGGAGCAUCCUUGUCUCUUAACUGACAGUGCCUCCACCUGGCCUUGCAGCUCCACUCGACAAAUACUAAAUAACAGGCUCUGGCAUCUCCUGAAGCUCUGCACUCAUUAACACACUGGGAGGCAGAAGGGACAAUGAAUUGUGACUCGGAAAUUAAUCAGAUGAGACCUGAUGACUGAAGUACAUCACAGAGCUAGGAAGAGAGAUUACUAAGCAACACGGUGAGAGCUCCAUCCUCUGGGUAUUCAGCCAACUACAGAUCACUCAAAGGCAGACAUUCUGGGAUCUUCCAUCCAUCAAGCUGAACCAGAGUACAAGGCCAAAACCAGUGAAUGACAAAGCAACCCCAUGCCCAGCUUAAGAGUUUCCUCAGAGAGUUUGUCUUGUAGGAGUCAUUAGACACUAAUUUGAUUCUAUUUGCAUGUGCACACCCUGCCCUUUGCCAAACAGGGAGAGAAUCACACUUGAGAGCUAGCGCUCAGCUCAGUCUCUUCUCCACACCACGCUAGUGCACCAAGAACAAGGUUAUAGGUGUGGCAAAAAAACAAACCCUGCCAAUGCUCUAAGUAUAUGUUUGAUGUAAUCUUAUUUCUCAUAAAAUUAAGAGGAUAAUAUUUUUAGGUGA
ensembl:lncRNA LINC02682 long intergenic non-protein coding RNA 2682